rnacentral:rRNA from 1 species
UACGUAGGGGGCAAGCGUUGUCCGGAAUUAUUGGGCGUAAAGAGCGUGUAGGCGGCCAGAUAAGUCCGCUGUGAAAAUCUCGAGGCUCAACUUCGAGCUGUCGGUGGAAACUAUCUGGCUAGAGUCCGGAAGAGGAGAAUGGAAUUCCUGGUGUAGCGGUGAAUGCGCAGAUAUCAGGAAGAACACCUAUUGCGAAGGCAGCUCGCUGGACGUAACUGACGCUGAGACGCGAAGCGUGGAGCAACAGG